ACAGGAUUGCCACUCCUCGUGUUCACGGCGGACCUUGAUUUAUUAGCAAUACAAUUAAGGCACGCGGUGAAUGCCAAGAGAGGAAUCCCACUAUCCACUAAC
ensembl:miRNA microRNA 124-3